rnacentral:rRNA from 1 species
CCUACGGGAGGCAGCAGUGAGGAAUAUUGGUCAAUGGCCGUAAGGCUGAACCAGCCAAGUCGCGUGAGGGAAGACGGCCCUAUGGGUUGUAAACCUCUUUUGUCGGAGAACAAAACCCGGGUCGUGUCCCGGACUGCGUUUAUCCGAAGAAAAAGCAUCGGCUAACUCCGUGCCAGCAGCCGCGGUAAUACGGAGGAUGCGAGCGUUAUCCGGAUUUAUUGGGUUUAAAGGGUGCGUAGGCGGUCCGUUAAGUCAGCGGUAAAAUUGCGGGGCUCAACCCCGUCGCGCCGUUGAAACUAGCAAACUUGAGUUGGCGAGAGGUACGCGGAAUGCGAGGUGUAGCGGUGAAAUGCAUAGAUAUAGCGAAGAACACCGAUUGCGAAGGCAGCGUACCGGCGCCAGACUGACGCUGAGGCACGAAAGCGUGGGGAUCGAACAGGAUUAGAUACCCGAGUAGUC